GCGAGGGGUCGGGAGGGGGAGAAGGUGGGGGUGGCUGCCUCCCAGGGCCGAAGUCUGCAGCCGGGCUGAUUCUGCAGCCGGAGCAGGGUGGCUGCCAGCCACAUUUGUAUUUCAACUGUCUUCCUCCCGGGCUGGAGGGGCGCCAGGGGCGGGGCCACCGCUCCCGCUCUGAGCCACUUCCUGGGUCUCAGGCAAAGCCAGCAGCGGGGACACUGCCUCGGGGCUGCUUGAGUACUGUCCCCCCUGCUCUGAGCACUUGACACACCUGACCCAACUGGCUCACUCCGGUGGGGCGGGCGGAACCUCUGGAGGGAGGUGAGUUGUCCUGUCGCCUCGCUCCGACGCCCUUUCCUUUCCAGAGAGCCAGUGCCGUGGCUCUCUGGGCAUGCACCCUCGUCUCACCCCAGCUUGGGCAGCUCUCCUGGGCCGGACCUGGGCCCUGUGGGUCGGAGAGGAUGGUGUCAGGGAGGCGUCGCGAUCCCAGCCGGCCGGGGGUCAGCUUCAGACUCCUGGAGCAGGACCCUGUUGGGAGCAGGUGGCCUGGAGCUCCUGAUGCCUGUGGUGGCCUAGACCGUGCUGAGGACAUCCCAGCUGAGGAUGGGCGAGGGCAGGGCUGACAGAUGGAGGACCCGAGGUCCUGAUGCCAUGGCAUGAGCCCCUGCGACCAGCUGGCCUGAAAUUGAGGCCAAGCCCAGGCUGCAAGGCUAAGUGAGGCCAUCAACACCCUCUUGCUGUCACUUGCACCCCAAGGCUUGGGACGAGGGUGACCCCCUUGGAUGUCCCAAUGCCCGUGGACCUGGCCUGCAUGUAGGGAUCACCCAGGCGUUUCACAAACUCCUGACGCCCAGACUUGUGAUGUCUCAGUCCUUGGGGUGGGAGGGCACUGCCGUUAAAGCCCGCAGGUGGCUCCAACGUGCAGCCAGGAUUGAGAACCACUGCGGAGGCAGUUUGCCCAGCCACCAGGCCAACCAUUCAAUGAGUGCCCAAGAGGAGAGGAGCCCACCUCAUCCCCGCCAGAGAAGCUGAAGAUCCAUGGAGGGGGGAGGGGGUGGGGAGCAGCAGAAACAGAAGCGGCAGGAGAGCCUGGGGAGUCCUGACAUCCCGCCCAGCUUCAGGAGCCUUGGUGCUGGGGACAGACAUGCCAGCAUUGUCACUUCUCCUAGCCUCCACUGGUUCUUGCCCCAGAAAGGGGCCAUCAAGGUGGGAGGUGCUGGUGGCAAUGCCGAAAAACGCAAGUUGCUGGGUAUGGAGGUCCCGACCUGGAACAAAAGCACAGGGGCUGUGCCCGGCUCUGGGGCCUCCCAGCCUUAGGCCCAUACAGGGACCCGAAACAGGCGUUGAGACCACGCCUCCAGAGAGGCGAGGAGAGACUCCGACAAGGACACCGACCGUGAAGGCCUCGAACCAGAGUCGGCCGGUGGCGACAGAGUGGACGCCACUGCUGUUAGCAGGAAGUCACAGCCCAGAUGCGCAGGAAGCUCCCUGGGGGCUGACAGAGACCAGAGCCCUCGUGGGGUCUGCAGGAUAUUCUUUCAUGCCUUCUCUCCAUUUCCCUCAGCAAACAUGGGGGGCCACCUGCUGCGCCUCUGACAGGAAGGGACACACUCAACAGUCCCCUCUUUAAGGAUCAGAAAGCAGAGGCGGGGGGACACGCCCAGCUAACAGCUGGGGAGGAAAAAGCAGUGUAUGUGGGGACGGAUACAUCCCCAGCUGGAGGCAUCCACUGGGAUCCUGGAAAGUGUCCCCUGCGGAUAAAGGCGGUGGGUGGGGAGGACGACCGUAUUACACCCAAAGCUGCUGGGAACAUUUGGAGACAAGCCUCUGUGUGAACGACGGUGGGCCAAUCAAAACGAUGAGUGCGAUGCCACUUUCCUCGUUUGACACGGAGCUACGAUUAGUGAGAGGCUGUCCCUGGAAAAAGCUCCAUGAAGGGAACACAGCAGCACUACACCCAUGUGCAACUUCUUCGUGGUUUAAAAUGACUUCAAAAUAAAAAGUUCAGUGGCAGGGAAACAGCGGAGAAAGCUAACAUUCUUGCCUUACUCCCAGGCUUCAAAGGAAAAAGUCUUUCCCUAUGAAGAAUGACGUUAACUGCAGGUUUUUCACAGAUGCCCUUUAAAGAAGUUCCUUUUUUUUUUUUUAAUGCACAUUUUAAAAAAUUAAAGAAUGGUUGAUAAGAAGUUCCGUUUAUUCCUAGUUUACUAAAAGUGUUUUGCUUGUUUUUACAUCAAAAGUGAGUACUGGAUUUUGUCGAAUGCCUUUCCUGUGUCUUUUGAGAUUAUCAUAUGGUUUUUUCCUUAUUAGCUCUUAACGUGGUAAAUGAUGUGGAUUUUAGAAUAUUAAACCAAACCUGCAUUCUUGGAGUAAAUCGCACUUUGUCAUGAAGUGUGACAUUUCAUUUUUGUAUGUUCCUGGAUUCAACUGGCUAAAUUUUUGCCAAGGAUUUUUGCCUCUAUGUUCAUGAGACACUGGUCUAUAUUUUUCUUUUCUUAUACUUGUCUGCUUUUAGUAUCGGGGUGGUGGUGUCCUCAUAAAAUGAACUGGGAGGAGCUCCCAGUUCUUAAAAUCAUGGAGGAUUUUGUGUUGGCUUGUUAUGACCUCUUCCUUAAAUGCUUGGCACAAUUUACCAUUUGGGCUUGGAAUUUUCUUUUGCGUGAGGGCAUUUUGCUUUUGCUUUGCUCAAAUCUUUUGACAACUUGAUUAAGGUGCAAUUUACCUUGAAAUUUACCGAUUUAAAGCAUAAGAAGACGGGAUUACCACUUGGAAGGAAAUUAAUCUCAUUUUUCCCACCCCUGUCCUGGGAGACCUUUAACUGCAUGCCUGAGCGCCAGGCAGGCAUGAGUCGCUGGAGUCCAGUGUACUUCAGCUUCUUAAAAGUCAAGAGCUGCUUUCCGGCACCUCCUUCCUCCUGUGCUGCUCCUCACGCUGCUCUGGCCUCAGCCGACGAGCUCCAGCUUCCCAUCCCACCCGCCUCCUGGGACUGUUCUCCAGAGCAUCGCCGAGAACACCACGUCCCCUCGGGGCUCGGCCCACAGACAUGCCUCAGACCCUUGUACUUGAUCUUCUACAGAGAUUGCUGGUUGACCCUCUUCCCUGGCUGUCCCAGUCCCCGCAGGAAACAGGCGGCUCUUUAUAAGGCGUGCGUGACUGGGGGUAGGGACACCACAGGUGCAGCUGGGAUCUGGAGCUACGGCCACUCCUGGGUCGGAAGGGACAGCGGCAGUGCAGGAGGCAGCCCUGGGGAGGGAACUGGGGCCUCCCAGCUCACCCCUCACCUUCUGCUGGUCUGGGCCCAUCCAGAGGGCACUAACGGGUGUGACUCAGGCAGCCUCUGGGGACGCAGAGCAGGGCAGAGGGAUGGAGAAGGAGGGUGAUUCCAUCCACCCCAAUGUCCUCCAGAAAAGGCCUCUCUCCUUUACCAGCCUCUCAGGGCAUCCUGCGCCCCGUGGGUCCUGCGGGAUGAUCUCCUUUGUUCCGAAGGCCCAUCAGGCACCGUAAUGACACCCACACCAGUUCAGACCUCUCACGGGAGCUCCAAUCUCCGAUGAAGGAACACAACCAGCGCAAGAACAAGGGGUCCUUCUUGGCUCCCCCAAGCGGCGGUGUCAGAGGUUCGAAGUGGGAGAAGUCGGGGAAACGGGGUCCGAAUGGUGACAGCCAGAG